rnacentral:rRNA from 1 species
ACGGAGGGUGCGAGCGUUAAUCGGAAUCACUGGGCGUAAAGCGCACGUAGGCGGUGUCGUAAGUCAGAUGUGAAAGCCCUCGGCUCAACCGGGGAACUGCAUUCGAUACUGCGCCGCUUGAGUGCAGCAGAGGGAGGCGGAAUUCCAGGUGUAGGAGUGAAAUCCGUAGAUAUCUGGAGGAACACCAGUGGCGAAGGCGGCUACCUGGCCUGCAACUGACGCUGAGGUGCGAAAGCGUGGGGAUCAAACAG